GCCCCGCCCAUCCCUGUUUGCUCUGCUCCCGGAUCCCAUGCAGGGGCUGCCCUGCCUCUGCCCGGCCCUGCCGCACUGCUGGCAGCGGGGGCCCUGCUCCAUGGCCGAGGGCUCGGGCACGCAGGCCCCGGGGAGAGAGCCCCCGCUCGGCGUCCAGGGCCUGCGAGCCCAGUACUUGCGGAGGCAGCAGAGGGCCCAGGCCCAGCUGGUGGUGCUCCCGAAAGGAGGGUACACGCCCGCUCCUGCUGAGUCCAUGGUCAGUCCUGUUUGGAUUAACAAGGAGAGAAGACGUUCACUGUCCCUGGAGGAGAUGGAUCCUGAGGCAGAGGGGAUGCGGGAGGAGGCUGACAGAGGCUGUCUUCAGGCUCUCGAGUCUCCGUGGAACACGCACCUAGAGAUGUACCGCUGGGUACAGACCUUCCACCAGGAAACCGGCCUUCAGGUAAAACACAAGGCCAAGCUCAUGGGGUCUGAGCAAAGGCUCCCUCAGGACGGAGACCCAGGCUUGUUUGAAGACAAUCAGAUGACUCAGCAAGGGACCGCCAUCCCCCGAACAGCCCGGCGAGAAUGUCAGGUGGGCCGUGCCCAAACAAAGGCAGUGGGAUCUGGCCUAAAUGUAGGCAUUCAGUGCCCUCCUUCCCUAAAGAACCCAGGCAGGUCUGGAAAAGCAGCUCACUAUCCAUUUCCCCAGAGGAAAACUCCUAGGAUCUCUCAAACUGCCAGGAAGCUGGGCUUGUACGGCCCAGCCUGAAGCUCUCUGCUCAGCCAAUGUCUCAGCGUUGAAAGCACCGGUGGCCUCAUCAAAGAACCGGGAGACGGAGCCACAACUCGGACCUCUAGCUAUGAGCCAAGACUGGACUAAGUUGCAGGGAUUUUGAACUUCAUGGUGGACAUAGGGUCUCGCCCUUUAAAAAAGAAGAGCCUGCCUAGGCCAGAUGGCCCAUGGUCCAGGAUGAAAGAGCGCCGUGUGAUCAAUGUGGCCUUAUUCUGCUUGUCUACGAAGACAUCGCUACGGAGCCCUAGAUGCCCACUCCUUGGGAAGGCCCAGUAGGACAUCUUCUCCAUCCCUAGAAAUGGAAACUUUGAAACAUGACACAGGCACCCUAGCCAAUGGAAUGCCUUAGCAGGGCCCCGGAAUCAAUGAGUGUUGGGCAUUCUUGUUGCCAGUAUCUUCUGAUGAUCUGGAGGUCCAUGUGCAUUUGGGCAAACUUCCCAAGACAGCUCUCCUGCAAGCGCUGCCAGCAGUUCGGCCUCAUGCCACCUGGAAGACCAAUGCUGGUUUCCCUAAACGCUGUAGCAGGAGAAGAAAGUGCACUACUAGUCCUGGACUGGCUUUCAAACCUCUUGUACUUACGUUUCAUUGCCCCAAGGAAGUUCUGUGGUCCUCUCUUCCCAUCAAGGGUAUGCAAUCAUCCCAUGUGCCUGGAAGGAGAGCAGGAAUAGGAAAGCCCAGGUGAGCAGCACUAAGGCUAGCACGGGUGGAUAGGGGCCAGGUUAGAGGACAGUAGGAGAUUCCAUCCUGAAUACAAUAAACAGCCAGUAAGAGAUCGACAUGUGAGACUAAAAUUAUUUAAUUUGCCUUUUAACCAGAUUACUCUGGUUGUUCUAUGGAGAAAGGGUUGAGGGUCACAGUAAGAGGCAACACCAGGGAGAAAAUGGCCAAGUACAGUGGGAAAGAUGCUGUUAGUUCAAGCUAGAGGAGGAGCCGCAGAGAUGGGGGCGGGUGGGGGGGAGUGGAUACACCGGAUACGAAUUUUGGAGCUAGAGUCAUUAGGAUUUAAGGAAGGAAGAUUCAGUUUGAGGGAUCCUGAGUUUGAGACGUUCGUGAGAUACGCAAAGGAAGAUACCAAAUGGGCCGGUGGAUGAAUGGGACCAAAGUUCUGGGCUGGACACGAAUUUAAGUGGCGCGAGUGUGCAGAGGUACUGGAAAGGACGAGGCAAGGCGAGCUCACCCGUGCAGGGUGUGGAGAGAGGACGGGGUCUGGAAUGAGUCCUGAAAAUGCAGUUUACUUAGUUGAAAGAACUCUAAGGAUCUUUCCAAUCCUUCUUGAGGAGAAGCAGGAAAGGAGGAGGAGGGACGGUGAAGGACCCUGACCGGGGAGUAAAGGAGAGCCAGGGCGGUGGGGUGUCACAGACUUUAAGAGGCAAGACAUGGGACAGGUCACUUCCCUGACCGCACCCCUCGCACUCAUCCCUUUUCUAGAUCCAUAUUCCACAAUCUGAAGUUGUUUUUUCUUGAGCAUGGGUUUACAAGGCCAGAGCCCUGGGCCACCUGGGUGGCUCAGCAGUUGAGCCUCUGCCUUCGGCUCAAGGCAUGACCCCGGGUCUGGGGAUCGAGCCCCCACACUGGGCUCACAGCGAGGAGCCUGCUUCUCCCUCUGCCUGUGUC